rnacentral:pre_miRNA from 1 species
GCUGGUUUCAUAUGGUGGUUUAGAUUUAAGUACACAAUGUCUAGCACCAUUUGAAAUCAGUGCU